UACGUAGGGUGCAAGCGUUGUUCGGAAUUACUGGGCGUAAAGGGCGCGUAGGCGGCCAACUAAGUCGGACGUGAAAUCCCCAGGCUCAACCUGGGAACUGCGUCCGAUACUGGAUGGCUUGAAUCCGGGAGAGGGAUGCAGAAUUCCAGGUGUAGCGGUGAAAUGCGUAGAUAUCUGGAGGAAUACCGGUGGCGAAGGCGGCAUCCUGGACCGGCAUUGACGCUGAGGAGCGAAAGCCAGGGGAGCAAACGGG
rnacentral:rRNA from 1 species